rnacentral:rRNA from 1 species
UUGGGCUACACACGUGCUACAAUGGACAAUACAAAGGGCAGCGAAACCGCGAGGUCAAGCAAAUCCCAUAAAGUUGUUCUCAGUUCGGAUUGUAGUCUGCAACUCGACUACAUGAAGCUGGAAUCGCUAGUAAUCGUAGAUCAGCAUGCUACGGUGAAUACGUUCCCGGGUCUUGUACACACCGCCCGUCACACCACGAGAGUUUGUAACACCCGAAGCCGGUGGAGUAACCUUUUAGGAGCUAGCCGUCGAAGGUGGGACAAAUGAUUGGGGUGAAGUCGUAACAAGGUAGCCGUAUCGGAAGGUGCGGCUGGAUCACCUCCUUU